rnacentral:lncRNA from 1 species
UCGAAGUCUUUUGCUCUUCCCCAGUCGAGUAAGAUUCGUAUCCCUUUUGUGGAAUCGAAUGUCCAUCCUAUAAUCGAGUCUGCUCCUAAGCCCUCUUUUGGAUGAUGAGUGUCUUGGUAAUAUAUCCCCAAUUCACGCUUUGGUUGGUCACCUAUUAUAUGCCUAGUAUCCAGUAUCCCUGGUGUUCCUUCCUCCCUGCUCCCUAUUAUGACUUUUUGUCCCUUACGGAGUCGGAUUUUCCUGAGCUGAAGUAUACCUUUCUAGGUCUUCCUCAGAUGAUUUCGG